rnacentral:lncRNA from 1 species
AUGCAGUUAAUACAGGUCACUACUGCGUCACUACCCCAGUGUGGACAUGUUUGUUUUUCUGAACAUGUUUUUCAACAAAUAAUUCAUUGACGUACAAGGAAAGCUAUGAAAAAUAUCAUAUCAUCUAGGCCAUGGAUAAUCUUCAGGUUUAUUGCAGCAGCUUAAGAGAAGAAUGUGAACAAAUGCAGGGCACUGGUCACAUACCAACAUGUGUUGUAUUUUUCUGAAUGUUAAACACAAGCAGCAGAUUCAACAUGACUAACUGUUUGAUGCCAAAAUUAGUUGGAACUCAACUCACUGUACAUACUCUAAAAACACAGAUAACUGGUGCUGUUGCCUUUCAGCCACCGGCAAGAAAAUGAUUCUUUUCUUCAGAAAAUUGCAAGUUAAUUUUUUGUCUUGACCCCUAACACUUUCUGUUAAUAUUAUAGAUAUUUAUGUUGAAAGAGUUACAAAGUCUGAAAAGCUAACUAAAAACUUUGUGUAUUUGUGUCAUAAGGAAAGCUGCUGGAGUAAUCUGGUGGUCAUGCUCAUUUGGUUCAUUUCGUGCCAGCUAGUGAAAGCCGAAAGGCAUGUCGAAUUCAAUUGAGCUGCUGCGUGCUGUCUCGAAGCAUAGCCUACUCUAUAUAGGAAGCCGAAAGGAAGGAUAUCUCUCGCGUGUUGGAAAAGUGAAGCCUACUUUGCUCACCUUUCCUCCGAUUUCGCAUCUUCCAAGUGGACCCAGGGGGGCCAUCUGGUGAGCGAAAUAAUGACACGCCCUCCGAAAUUUCGAAUGUUAUGGUUUGGGGGGAUUACCCUGUAAUUUAUGAACGCACCAUUAAUAUGUUGCCGUGAGGGAUUUCAUGACAAUGUUACAUUGGAACGGUGGACAUUAUUGUUUAGUGAAUGGCCCUUCGUAGCCAUUUAACAAUCAUAUCGAUAGAAACGUAAACAAAUCCGUGUUUUCAAAUAUCGCCACUAGACGAUAAAUUGGCUCCCGUGGGUCCACUUAGGGCGGAGCCAAAUAAGAGGAAGGGAACCCAAAUUGGCUUCCAAAAAAAGGCCAAUCCUUUCGGCUUCCUAUAUAGAGUAGGCUAUGCUCGAAGGAAGCAAUCCAGCUGUUGCGUUCAGUCAUUUGGAACAGGAAUCUAAUGGCUGUCAAUAGGUGGCUGUGAAUAAGUGGCUGAAAUGAUGUCCACCAGGUAGCGUGAGUGUCUUCAGAGAAGCUUAGCGGCCAUUUUGUUCCAAGACGCAGCAGAAAUAGGUUGUUGGUUGUGACGUUUCUCACGAUGAAAAUUAAAAGGUGAUUUAGCAUGUAGAAACCAAUUUGCCAAAUCAUUCACCUCAGACUUGGGAAGUGCCUGUACAUUUCCGAAAUGGCGUGCCUCGUGUGUCUCGCUGCCUGUUCUUUGGCUUACGUCUCACCCCAUUCAACAGUGAAAAGUAAAACAAAUGCUGGUGGUUACCUUGUUGCAGCCAAAUGGUGAAAGGUGUGACAAAGACAGAUUGAACCGUUGUAUACUGAAUGCAAUUGCAGUGUAAUCCAGAAGUUGCUGUGCUGUUGUAGCUGAGCUGUUCCAUCUGGGUUCCUGACUUCAAAAAUUUUGUGUUGUCGUUUUCAUCCAUGCCAUAUGAAAUUGCUCUGCCAGUGAUAUUUUGUGUUGCUGCGUUAAAAGUUUGAUCUGUUGUCUUGAGUUUUCAUUCAA